AGAUUAAGUUAUUAAGGGCGCACGGUGGAUGCCUUGGCACUAGAAGCCGAUGAAGGACGUUACUAACGACGAUAUGCUUUGGGGAGCUGUAAGUAAGCUUUGAUCCAGAGAUUUCCGAAUGGGGAAACCCAGCAUGAGUUAUGUCAUGUUAUCGAUAUGUGAAUACAUAGCAUAUCAGAAGGCACACCCGGAGAACUGAAACAUCUUAGUACCCGGAGGAAGAGAAAGAAAAUUCGAUUCCCUUAGUAGCGGCGAGCGAAACGGGAAGAGCCCAAACCAACAAGCUUGCUUGUUGGGGUUGUAGGACACUCUAUACGGAGUUACAAAGGACGACAUUAGACGAAUCAUCUGGAAAGAUGAAUCAAAGAAGGUAAUAAUCCUGUAGUCGAAAAUGUUGUCUCUCUUGAGUGGAUCCUGAGUACGACGGAGCACGUGAAAUUCCGUCGGAAUCUGGGAGGACCAUCUCCUAAGGCUAAAUACUCUCUAGUGACCGAUAGUGAACCAGUACCGUGAGGGAAAGGUGAAAAGCACCCCGGAAGGGGAGUGAAAUAGAACCUGAAACCGUGUGCUUACAAGUAGUCAGAGCCCGUUAAUGGGUGAUGGCGUGCCUUUUGUAGAAUGAACCGGCGAGUUACGAUUUGAUGCAAGGUUAAGCAGUAAAUGUGGAGCCGUAGCGAAAGCGAGUCUGAAUAGGGCGUUUAGUAUUUGGUCGUAGACCCGAAACCAGGUGAUCUACCCUUGGUCAGGUUGAAGUUCAGGUAACACUGAAUGGAGGACCGAACCGACUUACGUUGAAAAGUGAGCGGAUGAACUGAGGGUAGCGGAGAAAUUCCAAUCGAACCUGGAGAUAGCUGGUUCUCUCCGAAAUAGCUUUAGGGCUAGCCUCAAGUGAUGAUUAUUGGAGGUAGAGCACUGUUUGGACGAGGGGCCCCUCUCGGGUUACCGAAUUCAGACAAACUCCGAAUGCCAAUUAAUUUAACUUGGGAGUCAGAACAUGGGUGAUAAGGUCCGUGUUCGAAAGGGAAACAGCCCAGACCACCAGCUAAGGUCCCAAAAUAUAUGUUAAGUGGAAAAGGAUGUGGCGUUGCCCAGACAACUAGGAUGUUGGCUUAGAAGCAGCCAUCAUUUAAAGAGUGCGUAAUAGCUCACUAGUCGAGUGACACUGCGCCGAAAAUGUACCGGGGCUAAACAUAUUACCGAAGCUGUGGAUUGUCCUUUGGACAAUGGUAGGAGAGCGUUCUAAGGGCGUUGAAGCAUGAUCGUAAGGACAUGUGGAGCGCUUAGAAGUGAGAAUGCCGGUGUGAGUAGCGAAAGACGGGUGAGAAUCCCGUCCACCGAUUGACUAAGGUUUCCAGAGGAAGGCUCGUCCGCUCUGGGUUAGUCGGGUCCUAAGCUGAGGCCGACAGGCGUAGGCGAUGGAUAACAGGUUGAUAUUCCUGUACCACCUAUAAUCGUUUUAAUCGAUGGGGGGACGCAGUAGGAUAGGCGAAGCGUGCGAUUGGAUUGCACGUCUAAGCAGUAAGGCUGAGUAUUAGGCAAAUCCGGUACUCGUUAAGGCUGAGCUGUGAUGGGGAGAAGACAUUGUGUCUUCGAGUCGUUGAUUUCACACUGCCGAGAAAAGCCUCUAGAUAGAAAAUAGGUGCCCGUACCGCAAACCGACACAGGUAGUCAAGAUGAGAAUUCUAAGGUGAGCGAGCGAACUCUCGUUAAGGAACUCGGCAAAAUGACCCCGUAACUUCGGGAGAAGGGGUGCUCUUUAGGGUUAACGCCCAGAAGAGCCGCAGUGAAUAGGCCCAAGCGACUGUUUAUCAAAAACACAGGUCUCUGCUAAACCGUAAGGUGAUGUAUAGGGGCUGACGCCUGCCCGGUGCUGGAAGGUUAAGAGGAGUGGUUAGCUUCUGCGAAGCUACGAAUCGAAGCCCCAGUAAACGGCGGCCGUAACUAUAACGGUCCUAAGGUAGCGAAAUUCCUUGUCGGGUAAGUUCCGACCCGCACGAAAGGCGUAACGAUUUGGGCACUGUCUCAACGAGAGACUCGGUGAAAUCAUAGUACCUGUGAAGAUGCAGGUUACCCGCGACAGGACGGAAAGACCCCGUGGAGCUUUACUGUAGCCUGAUAUUGAAAUUCGGCACAGCUUGUACAGGAUAGGUAGGAGCCUUUGAAACGUGAGCGCUAGCUUACGUGGAGGCGCUGGUGGGAUACUACCCUAGCUGUGUUGGCUUUCUAACCCGCACCACUUAUCGUGGUGGGAGACAGUGUCAGGCGGGCAGUUUGACUGGGGCGGUCGCCUCCUAAAAGGUAACGGAGGCGCUCAAAGGUUCCCUCAGAAUGGUUGGAAAUCAUUCAUAGAGUGUAAAGGCAUAAGGGAGCUUGACUGCGAGACCUACAAGUCGAGCAGGGUCGAAAGACGGACUUAGUGAUCCGGUGGKUCCGCAUGGAAGGGCCAUCGCUCAACGGAUAAAAGCUACCCCGGGGAUAACAGGCUUAUCUCCCCCAAGAGUUCACAUCGACGGGGAGGKUUGGCACCUCGAUGUCGGCUCAUCGCAUCCUGGGGCUGUAGUCGGUCCCAAGGGUUGGGCUGUUCGCCCAUUAAAGCGGUACGCGAGCUGGGUUCAGAACGUCGUGAGACAGUUCGGUCCCUAUCCGUCGUGGGCGUAGGAAAUUUGAGAGGAGCUGUCCUUAGUACGAGAGGACCGGGAUGGACAUACCUCUGGUGUACCAGUUGUCGUGCCAACGGCAUAGCUGGGUAGCUAUGUGUGGACGGGAUAAGUGCUGAAAGCAUCUAAGCAUGAAGCCCCCCUCAAGAUGAGAUUUCCCAACUUCGGUUAUAAGAUCCCUCAAAGAUGAUGAGGUUAAUAGGUUCGAGGUGGAAGCAUGGUGACAUGUGGAGCUGACGAAUACUAAUCGAUCGAAGACUUAAUCAAAUU
rnacentral:rRNA from 1 species